UGCAAGUCGAACGCUGAAGCACCAGCUUGCUGGUGUGGAUGAGUGGCGAACGGGUGAGUAAUACGUGAGUAACCUGCCCUUGACUCUGGGAUAAGCCCGGGAAUCUAAUACUGGAUGCUACAUGUCACCGCAUGGUGGUGUGUGGAAAGGGUUUACUGGUCUUGGAUGGGCUCACGGAUCAGCUGGUGAGGUAAUGGCUCACCAAGGCGACGACGGGUAGCCGGCCUGAGAGGGUGACCGGCCACACUGGGACUGAGACACGGCCCAGACUCCUACGGGAGGCAGCAGUGGGGAAUAUUGCACAAUGGGCGAAAGCCUGAUGCAGCGACGCCGCGUGAGGGAUGACGGCCUUCGGGUUGUAAACUCAGCAACUGGGGGGAAGAAGCCACAAGUGACGGUACCUGCAGAAGAAGCGCCGGCUAACUACGUGCCAGCAGCCGCGGUAAUACGUAGGGCGCUUGUAAGCGUUGUCCGGAAUUAUUGGGCGUAAAGAGCUCGUAGGCGGUUUGUCGCGUCUGCUGUGAAAGCCCGGGGCUUAACCCCGGGUGUGCAGUGGGUACGGGCAGACUAGAGUGCAGUAGGGGAGACUGGAAUUCCUGGUGUAGCGGUGGAAUGCGCAGAUAUCAGGAGGAACACCGAUGGCGAAGGCAGGUCUCUGGGCUGUUACUGACGCUGAGGAGCGAAAGCAUGGGGAGCGAACAGGAUUAGAUACCCUGGUAGCUCUUUCCAUGCCGUCCUAAACGUUGGGCAC
rnacentral:rRNA from 1 species